rnacentral:sRNA from 1 species
UAACCAGAUCAGAAUCAUGCGGAUAGGUGA